UAGCUUAGACCAGCACAUGGAACACAUUUUGUGGGAUUUAAGCGCUCAUCUUGUGUCUGUGCUGCAGGAUGCUGCUGCUCAUCUGCCUUCAUGCAGAUUUCUGAAAAUCCCGAGAGGGAGCUUGCCUCUUCCUUUUCAAGCUGAAAGGCCUUGAUGACUACAGACCAAAUGCUCCUGGGAAUCCAAACUGGACUUGUUGCUCUGUAGACGACUCACUGAGUCUUGAAGCUUGGUGAAAACAGAAAUAAAGAGUCACUGAAUGUGGCAUUAAAUUCAA